AAAUUACGUCUCAAAAGAAUAAAUCUUCAAACUUUCAGAUAAACUAAAGAUGGGUUUUACUAAUGCAUGAAAGUACACGUACUUUCACUGUUUAAUAGUGAGUUUAGUCCAAAAAACUAUUCUGAAACUAUGCAACUAUUCCAGACUAAAAGAUUAAUUCACAAAAUUAAUAGAAUAAAUGAACAAAUGUACAAUGCAAUCGUCAAUAAUGACACGUGCAAAAACAAGAUGGCGGACAAUUUUCCGCGAAAGCCUAAAUCGCAAAAAUAUCACAAAUAUCAAAAUAUUGUUGCACUUUCAUAAGAUGCAAAACUAAACGCCACUAGUGUGCAGUUUCUGCACAAUAUAGACAACAAAAUGAGUCAUACCACAGCGGAAACAAUCAUAAAUUCAAACCACAAUGGCGGGUAUGUGCCCGCGCAGAUUCAAUUUUUGGAACUGCGAAAGUUGCAAAAAUUAUUGCUCGCAGCGCCAGUGAAGUAAAUACUGAUAGUACUUACCUGAAAAUAGAGAUGUCUCUGUUCCAGGAACCCUCAGGCCAGGAACGUAGACACAUAACACAUAGGAUGAUCAACGAUACAAAAGAAGACGUCCGUCUAGUAAUAAGGCUGCAGUAUGACUGUCGAUUAUUUGCAUUGGUUUCCGGUCAAUCGAUUAGCCUCCGCCGUACUGUUCCGGUUACACACCAGUAAAUUUACCACAGAGCUGCGUCACAGACUGUUACACAGAGAUGCGCAAAAGAGCAUGCAAUCAAACGCUACUGACCGUCAAGUCAAAUGUCCUACGGAAGAGUAAAGGGCAACAUAUUUGACAGCAAAAAAACAUACGAGAUCUGAUUUAGUAGGGCUCCGGACAGUUCCGGUUAUUCUCGCAAACGGAAAUCGGUCGAUAACUGUAAACGCAUUGCUAGAUGACGCAAGUACAAAAACGUACAUCAAUAGUGACGUAGCGGCAGAACUCGGCUGUAAAGGUAGAACGGAAAAGGUCAAGGUCAAUGUUCUGAAUGGUCAAGUCGAGACUUUUGAAACUAGACCAGUUUAAUUCGAAAUAAGAUGUGUCAACGGAAGUGUAAAUAUAUAUGUAGCAGCAUAUACAGCUAACAAAGUAACAGGAGCCAUGAAAGUUGUUGACUGGAACAAGUACCAAAGAAAAUGGCCACAUCUUCGUGACGUAACAUUUCCAAAAGCAACGACCAGACCUAUUGUUGACAUCUUAAUUGGACUUGAUUGUGCAGAUUUACAUUAUGCGCUGGAAGAAAGAAGAGGUAGCGCAGGGGAGCCAAUAGCGCGUCUGACUCCACUUGGAUGGAUAUGCAUCGGUAAUCAGUGUUCAAAUUUAACACCGGUCCUACCGACAAAUUAUGCGCGAACAUACUUUGUAACGGAAAUCGAGAAUCUAAACCUGACUCUUAAAAAAUUCUGGGAAGUUGAAAGGGAAUCAACUGAAUCACCUGUCGUUUACAUUGACGAGCAACAAGCACUUAAAGCAGAAAAAAGUCGUGCAUAUUCGAAAAUCAGAUGUAUCGCGUCGCCAUUCCAUGGAAAAGCAACGAACAUGUUAUGCCAAACAAUUACAAAAUGGCACUGAAUAGAUAAGAGAACACAGAUAAAAGACUCAAACAAUGUCCUCAGGUAGCUAAAGCAUACAGCGAAAUCAUCGAACAAUACGUAGAAAAGGAGUACGUGUCAAAAGAUCCGGAAUCUGAAGUGUCCAAUUCAAAGUGGUUUCUACCACAUUUUCCUGUUUUGAGGCUAGAUAAAGAUAAAACAAAAACCAGAAUCGUGUUCGAUGCAGCAGCAAAAUUUGAAGACGUAUCACUAAAUGAUAAAAUACACCAAGGCCAAAUCUACAGCGCGAUCUGUUUGACGUUUUGCUGAGAUUCAUAAAGCAUCCCGUUGCAGUAGUUUGCGACAUAGCCGAGAUGUAUCUCAGAAUAGGCAUCGAUCACGCGGACAAGCCAUAUCACAGAUUCCUAUGGAGGAGAGUGAAUCGUAACCGUUGUCCCGAUAUCUACGAAUUUGAUAGAGUCGUGUUCGGUGUAAAUUCAUCACUAUUCCAAGCACAGUAUGUCUUACAGCAACGCGCAAGGGAAAAUCUCAGCGCAUUUCCAUUAGCUGCUGAAUACCACUCUCUAACCAAUUCAAAACGAGAGCGGUUUCAUCCUGAGAGAGACAUCAAGAUUGGCGAAGUCGUUCUUAUCAUUACUCCGGAAACGACGAGGGGAAACUGGCCACUAGGACGGAUACUCGAGGUUUAUCCAGGACAAGAUGGUCGAGUGAGAGUCGUAAAAAUUCAGUUUGGAAGCAGCACCAUGACGAGAUCGGUGACAAAGCUAUGCCCGUUAGAACUGGACAAUUAAUUAUUAGAAUAUCGAAAAGAACAUACAAAUAGUUUACGUAUUCAAUUGAUUAUUUAAAAUUUUGUUUUACAAUAUUUAUCAAAAUGUACUGUAUUUUGAUGGAGGGGAAAAUGGACAUUAGAUUUGAACGUUUAAUUGGUACAAGCGGAUUGGUUCCAUGACGUGACGUCGAUUUGUGACGUAACGUUAAAGACGUGACGUCGUUACUUAGUGAUGUACUGGAUUUGACACAAGGAUUAUAUAUAUAUUUUGGAUCGUUAAUAAAUGCUCAUACCGAAAGCGGUCCUCAGACGCUGUCAGCGGUAAAAUUUCGUCGAUUGUCCCGAUUUCCGGCUGCUCUUUGUCGACAUCAUCGUUUUCAUUGGUUUGAUUACACCAGCGACGUCAGCUGACGACAGCAUUUUUCUCUACCAUUCGCAUUAACAAUACUGCUCAAAUCCCACUGAGCGGCUCGAUGGAAAUACGACCAAUGGGCGAAGGACUUGUAUUCAGUCAUUGACCCAUUAAGCAUGUUCAGUUAAUAGAAAUAUGCGUGGACAUGCCAAUAAGUUAAGUGAAUAUUGAAAUUCAUAAGCAAUUGCAUCGAACAAACCCCGUCGCUUUGUUUGCAGUGAGUCGUUUACUCUUGUGGAUUCAUUAUUUAUAUUUAUUCAUUAUCCUUUGAAAACUCCAUUCUUUGUCUUCCCACAUCUACAUUGCUGUCUAAGAUGUAAUCACAUGAUAAAACGUGCA